AGUUUUCAGGAUCGCUGCUCCAGUGUUUUGAUGUCGCGUGAUCCUUCGGAAAUCCCCAAUAUUUUUUCAGUGUAUUAAAUGUAGUCUUGGUGAUGAGCAUACAAGACUCCUAUCAAAACCUUUUUUUGCAAAAAGAGAUAUAAAAGAAGAGCUUUUCACUGGACAAAUGCAAGACUGCAUUUGUUUCAGACAUCUUGAACAAGUUGAGGAGAAAAGGUGUGUUCUUACCAGCUGGUGCCUCUGUGAAGAUCACAAACCCAGACGUUUUUGUUCAAGUCUUCAUUGUGGUUUGAUUUUCCAGCUUCAAACUGAAUACCAUUACGCCUGAGAAUGUGGAAAACCCCUUGAAAACAUCUAAGCGUUAGAGUACCUGAGUUGGGCCUGUUGGCAACCCUUAUGCUUAACAAAAAGAGGAUUAGUUGUCCGUACUUUAGUCAGCCAUAGAAAGUGAAACCAAAUGGAGCCAGAGCUUUGCUUUCUGAUACUGGUGCUAUAAUAGCAUCUGUAUCAUUCUCCCAUAUUACGUGCAGUUCACUAGACACGCACUUUAGCAUUAUUGAGCUUUCUGAAAGGGAGAAAAGAAAUCAAUAUUAGCAAAUCUGCCUCUCAUCUCCACACGCUAAUCUCUCAAAUCCUUUUUGAAAAUGGAAAUUAUUUGACAGUCACUUUUACACGUUUAAAAGAGAAUCGAAUGUGUUUAAUUGAUUGCCCAGCGAGCUUGUUUCGUCAUAGGAUAGGAGGAUGCUAAAUCAGAUCUUCGCAUUGUCUUUGUUUAUGUAAGGACUCAGAAUCGACAGCUCGCUGUUGUUGGAUUUAGCUUAUCCUCCGAGGAUAUCCGUUGUAUUCCUUUUUAUGUACAGUAAGAAAAGGUUGGCUACGAUCUUGCCUAUCCCUUAAGAGAUACCUGCUAUAAAAUGCUUGGAUAAAGAUGACAAACACGUCUAAGAUUAAGGCUCCUCAUUUGGCAAGAAUUAAAAGCGCUUAUUAGCAUAUCUCCUAACUGUCCAGUCGUCCAAAACCAAGCGAAUCGGUUCUUGAUGAAAACCUUGAAGUUAAUAGCCUCCUUGUGUUGAAUAAACAGAAUUAAGUAGGUCAAAAUAUGAUUAUGCGCUGUUAAAGUGCGUUAAGCUCUCUCCUAUUUCAACGGCUCUUUGUAUAAAUUAUGCUAAUUAUGUUAGCUAUUCUCAGCUGAUUGGCCUCCAAAUCAUUUAAAAACGAUCAGCUCUCUGAAUUGAAUUAUGCGUUCAAAUUUAGCAAGGAUCUUUAGGGUGUGCAAUAAUGCAGCCUUAUUCCAGUUUUUCCAUAUGAUUGGUAUUUAAUAGUAUUCUCUGAACAAUUCUCUCUCUGUCUGAUGUCAUUGCUCGAGCCUUUGCUAAUUAGAUCAAGACUUAAAGUAAUUAGCUUUCAGAAGUUUUUGCCGGUUUCCUCUGACCACGGUAGCUAUUUCAAAUGGUCAUUUUAAUUCUCUCUUUCUCUCCCUCCUUCCUCUUUUUCCAUGUUUUGCAUUAUAAAACAGCGGUGGGAAGAAUGACAAACACAGUUAAUCUCUUGCUCACUGGCAAUACAUUACAAAAGGCCUAAGAUAGGAUUCGGCUCCAGCAGAGUAAACACUCACAAUUCAGCAAUUGUCCAUUACGUCUAAAUGUGAACGAUAACAAGCCUCAUUAAUUUAACUGUGAGAGUAAGUGGGGUAACACGUAUCAAAAUUAAUAAUUGGCCUCCAAUGUAAAUGCAACUGGCAUUUUCCAAAUUCUGGAUGUAGCUCACAGGUUUUUUUUUUCCUUCCCAAUCCUAGGGAUAGGUUUAGUCAUGGAUGGCUCUUUUAAUUUGUUUACCACCUUCUCUCCUUUUCCCCAGAAAACUGAUCAAGAAGCCAUUUAAUUGCUGGAAGAAAAGGAAUCACUUCCACCCUUCUCUUGUUUUGUUGCCAAGUCUGCUGCCAGGAACAUGAAAUAUCUCACCACUUGUUUGUUAUGGAUCAACAAAACGUGAUUUAUGAGUACAUGGCUUUUGCAGGGAUUAGAUGAGUGUGCUGUUCUAGCUGGAGCUGAACUUCACCCGAUGUGCCUGUCUGCCUCUAGUCAACAACACAGCUGUCUGCCUCACCAUGCUAUCUGAUUAAGGUCGAGACAACCUUUAUCGGCUGAACGGAUCCUCGUGAGAGAGAGAAGACCUUCGCCACAAUGCUAACCUUUGGCACCAGGUGCACACAAAGGCCAUCAAUUUAGCUAAAUGUUACCAAUAAAAAGAGAUGUAUCUGCUUAUCUCAUAUUUUACAAAAGAGGACUGCACUGACAUUAGCGGCUUAGAUAAUAUUCGAUGGAUAAAUAUCAUUCUCUUCUACAUGCAGGCACGUGUCGCACCAAAUGAAGGCUGUAUGUAAAAUAGUGAAACGGUUUUUAUACAAAAGUGUGUAAGUUCUGAACAAUCACUAGUAUGUAUUAUUAACAACAAUUGAAUUUGAUUAUGUGAUUUUUAUGUAAUUUCAAUAUGCAAACUAUAAGCGGUUGAUAUGCAAAUGUUGUUAAUUCUCCGAUAGAAGGCAGCUUUAUCUGUCAGUGGUAGACAAAAAAUAAAUCAAAUAUUAUUUUGUAUUUGAUGCACAGACCUGCGGAGUGUGUAGUUGUUUAUCAGUUGUGCAUUCAGUACAGUAUACAGUAUAAAAGUGUGUUUUCAAUUGUGCGAUUUGUGUUUAAUUGACAUGUGCUGAUUACUGUAAUUGCAUCAUGCCUUUGUCUGUGUUUAGGUUUUAUGAAGCUGCUGACAGAAUUCUUUCCAUAUGCAA